GACGAACGCUGGCGGCGUGCUUAACACAUGCAAGUCGAGCGGUAAGGCCCUUUCGGGGGUACGACGAGCGGCGAACGGGUGAGUAACACGUGGGUGACCUGCCCUCAGCUCUGGGAUAAGCCUGGGAAACCGGGUCUAAUACUGGAUAUGACUCCAUGACGCAUGUUGUGGGGCGGAAAGCCUUGUGCGGCUGAGGAUGGGCCCGCGGCCUAUCAGCUUGUUGGUGGGGUGAGGCCUACCAAGGCGACGACGGGUAGCCGGCCUGAGAGGGCGACCGGCCACACUGGGACUGAGACACGGCCCAGACUCCUACGGGAGGCAGCAGUGGGGAAUCUUGCGCAAUGGGCGAAAGCCUGACGCAGCGACGCCGCGUGAGGGA
rnacentral:rRNA from 1 species